CACUCCAGCCUGGGCAACAGAGCAAGACUGUCUCUACUAAAAAAAAAAAACAAAAAAACAGAAGUUUGCAACACAAAGCAGUAAGGUUUGUGAUAACAUCUUAAUCAAUGAACUGGUCUUUAUUGAACAAAUACCCUGCAGUCUGCACCGCAGGAGUCACCUUUUGUUUAUGAGAGGUAGGAGA